AAAGCUCAAAUUUUAAAGCUGACAUCUUCGGUGUCCGCGUUGUAAUUUUGUGAGGCAUCUCCGGGUAGGGCGCCGGCCUAAGUUCCUUGGAACAGGACGUCACAGAGGGUGAGAAUCCCGUGCUUGGCUGGCUGUCCCCGUCCAUGUGAGGUGUCUUCGACGAGUCGAGUUGUUUGGGAAUGCAGCUCAAAAUGGGUGGUAAAUUUCAUCUAAAGCUAAAUAUUGGUGGGAGACCGAUA
rnacentral:rRNA from 1 species